GAAUUGACGGGGGCCCGCACAAGCGGUGGAGCAUGUGGUUUAAUUCGAUGCAACGCGAAGAACCUUACCUGGUCUUGACAUCCACGGAAGUUUUCAGAGAUGAGAAUGUGCCUUCGGGAACCGUGAGACAGGUGCUGCAUGGCUGUCGUCAGCUCGUGUUGUGAAAUGUUGGGUUAAGUCCCGCAACGAGCGCAACCCUUAUCCUUUGUUGCCAGCGGUCCGGCCGGGAACUCAAAGGAGACUGCCAGUGAUAAACUGGAGGAAGGUGGGGAUGACGUCAAGUCAUCAUGGCCCUUACGACCAGGGCUACACACGUGCUACAAUGGCGCAUACAAAGAGAAGCGACCUCGCGAGAGCAAGCGGACCUCAUAAAGUGCGUCGUAGUCCGGAUUGGAGUCUGCAACUCGACUCCAUGAAGUCGGAAUCGCUAGUAAUCGUGGAUCAGAAUGCCACGGUGAAUACGUUCCCGGGCCUUGUACACACCGCCCGUCACACCAUGGGAGUGGGUUGCAAAAGAAGUAGGUAGCUUAACCUUCGGGAGGGCGCUUACCACUUUGUGAUUCAUGACUGGGG
rnacentral:rRNA from 1 species